rnacentral:lncRNA from 1 species
AACGUUAUGCGAAGAAUAUUACGUACACGUGUAUACGUGCGUAUACACCGAGUCCUUACUCCGAGCGAAAUGCUAUUUCCUGUUUGGGCGCUUGCCAGUGAUUUACGAGGGGAGCGUAGUACGUUCGACUCAUCGAUUCAGGUUUUGCCCAUGUUAUUAGCACGCUGUAGCGACGUGGUAAAAUUUAUACGCAAUCUGAAAAGAUUUGGGUAAAAAAGAUUGCUUUAAAUUUCCCGCUAAAUGAUAUACCAAAUAAAUCCCCGAGUAAUUUCAAGACCUCCUCCUGAUUUCUCCUACAAUUUCGAAUUUUCGAAUCGUUCCUUUCAUUUACAAAUAUAUCCUCGUAUGAAUACCUCGCAUUUCCGCGUCUCAAAGCGGACGGAAAUCAUCCUUAACGAACACACGCGUGCACUGACGCCGUUAAAAAAUAUCUUAAAUUUCCUUCCGAACAAAGGGGGUCUAAUGAAAAAACAUCGGAGUGUCCUUUUUAACGGAGCUCAAUUUUAACACGGUUUGGUCGUACUACUUGCCAACAAUCGUGGGUCGUUUGCGGGAUAAUUUAGUCGCAUGUCGUGGAACCUUCCAAAAGAGGAAGGGAAAAAAAGAGAGUGGAGGGGAAUAAGAAGAAAAACGAGCACAAAAGAGUAAAUGUAAAUUCGUUUUUAACGAGAUAUUUCCAUAGGUGCGCGGGCCUGCAGAGAAGAUUGCACUCUGGUGGCGAGACGGGGAAACGAAAUCGUCGAACUAGUCGAGAGUGAGAUUCCUCCCUGUUAAAACGACGUUAAUCCCUUUUAUAAUAAUAUCCGCGUAGAUUGAAGGACAACUUAAUUAGCCGAGAUCGUUAGAAUCCCCGUGAAAGGCCACGACGAUGCUCCCCACCGGACUAGAGAAUUCGCCGAUUAUAUGGAGAAUAACCUUCGUUCCUAUUAUAGAUUCAUUUUCAGGUUAGAAAUAAGCCUUACGAUCAGUCUCGCGCUGGAUUCACGUUUACGUUAUUUCUUUUACCGAAAGUGAGAAUAAAAGUGACAAUAAGAGUGGAGAGAUAUUCUAAUACAAUUCUAACGAUUAGUGCUUUUAAUAAAAUUCUUCGUUGAAGUAUAAGAAAGCGAAAUGGAGAAUUUGAAAAUAUCGAAUUGAUUCGAGACUUUCUCGUGAAGAUUAAUUUUAUUUAAUUUUUGUGAAUCGCAAAAUUAUUCAGCUCCUUGAAAUUCUAAAAAAUUCUGAUCUUAUUUUGAUGCAAGCAUCUCGGAAAAAUGACGUUUUCGAACUAUGAUAUAUUUUCGACACCCGACUCGAUACGAUUCGACCCGAUCUUUCCCGAUCUGUUCCGAACGUUCUCGACGUUUUCGAGCUCUCGCACGCCUCUAAAGCGAAACAACAAUUAAUCUACCCGAAGGAUAAAAUAAUAAUAUAAUAAUAAAACUAGAAUAUCCCUCGAGCAUUGUAAACUUUGUUGUAAUGUAAACUUAACGUAACGGACAUAACCUUAACCUAACUCAAAUCUAAAUGUAUAACCUUUGCAAAAUAACAGAGAAGUAAAAUUGAAUUUACGUCUAAUUAAGAAAUAAUUGAAUAUGUGUUUACAUAUGUUAGAAAAUAUAAUUUUCCAUGCAACGAAGAAACACUUGUGCAACGUUGAGCAGAAUUGAAUUAAUUUUUUAAUUUCAACGAGACUUUCAGACGGUAAGAGGAAUAAUAAACGAGGAAUCUCUUACAAAUUAGAUUAAGAUAAAACGUCGUUAAAUGGGGAGUUUCUUGCAUAAUUUCACGUAGAGAGAGAGAGAGAGAGAAAGCAAAACAUUUCACGAAUUGAAUCCGGACGAGGCGUACUUCCAUAUUCAACCAUGUGAAUAUGGCCUUUGAAUACGAUCGGACUGGACGAUAAACUGGCGAGAAAUUAGCUGUAGUAUAAAUCACACGCGGAAUACUAUAAUGACAAAAUCUAAUGUACAGAUGCCGUUGGGAGAUCGGAGUUCAACUAAUUUUCACAAACUCUAAGAGUACAAUCGUGCAAAAUUAGAUGCAAUCCCCGGGAGACGAGCGAAAAUCCACCAAGUAACCAAAUACCCUGAAUCGAAAUGUUUCUCUUUGACAUACAUAUGUAAUAUGUAACGUAAUACCAUAUACAAGAGAUAGAUGGAGAUGAGAACUAGAAUUAGCAAAUCGAUAAUUUUAACAUCAAAGAAUAAACUGUGAAAAUUUUUGACUAAUUAUGGGACCAUUACAAGCUCGUUUGGCGGAUAUGGUAACGAGUAUCUGAUUGUGGAUAUUAUACAUUCUUAAUUUAUUUAAGGUUCUCUCGACGAACGAGAUAUUCUUUUUUCUUCUUUUUUCUUUAUUCGCAGGAACUUCAUUUCAAUUACACUGGAAGCUGUGUUCAGGAAGUUUAAUAUGCAAUUAUGGAACAAAUGAAAGAGCAGUGUCAAUCGAGGAAAACACGAAGGUUAAAAACAAUUGACUAACGACAUAAAGGAAUACGUAAUAAGAGCAUACGAGUCAAAGGUAAAUGUUCGCGUUAAUAGGCAAUUACCAGGCAGUUUCCGCGUGGAACACGUUCCUCUCGAUGAAAGCCUUACGCUUGCCGACCGUAUAAUCGAAAAUUAGGGUGCAGUUAGCAAGUGCUUAAGUAACAACUGUUUAUUGAUAUAGUUAAUGAAUUUCCGCGCAAACUGUGUUGUGUCUUGAUAAAUAUCAUUGCACGACUCGUCGAAAAUAAAUUUUGCUGCAACUGUAGGAGUUGGCUUGGAGUGAAAUACAAAAUGGAAAGAUAUUACUAAAAUAAUUAUUUCUCCACUUAUUCGUUCAUAGUUGUAUAAUAAAAUGUAACGAUCAAUUUCUACAUUGAAAAAUUCUAAAUUUAAAUGUAUAAUUAUUAGAAGCUGUGUAAUUAAACCUCGUUAAAAUUAAUGAAUUUUUUUACGUGUUAAAUAAAUGUUAAAUAAAUAAUUUGUAAGAGAAGAAAUUUUGUAUUAACAGUUGAAGAUCAAUUAAUAAUAUAAGAGUGACGACAAA